UUCGUAGUGAUGGUUUCUAAGGCCCACCUGACUUCACAUUCCAGGAUGCCUGGCUCUAGAGAGUGGAACUGGGAGAAAAGGCUCAGUAACCUGAGGGGAAAGUGGUGAAUACCAGCAUGUUAAUAUCUCCAUCUCAUCACAUCAGUUUGUGGCACAUAUGCUGUUUUCUGAAUCAUGGCUUACAUCAUCUAAAAUGCAUCUUUUUUCCUGACUCCAGUGGACUAACAUGAAAAACAGGUUGUGCUUGGUGGGACAGGAGCAGCGGGCUCAUAAAGACCUCAGAUGUGCAGGAUACCCCCAUUUGAGCAUCUGCCUUGUUUUCUCUGGAAAACCCAAAAGACCGUUAUGCUAUUUAUAAUGAUUCCAAACAUUUGAGGAAAGCAGUUUAUAAACACGAAAGGAUGCUUAGAAAAGAGACCAGGAAACUGGGGAGUCAGAGAGGUAAUUACAGAGAAAAAUGCUAAUCUCUUAGCAGCAGCAGUGGUUUGGAAAAGGAUUGAUUGCCUUCUGGAUUUCUGAGCUGAUGGUGUCCUGGGUGCACUUUGGUCUAGUGUCUGAUCUAA